rnacentral:rRNA from 1 species
UACGAAGGGUGCAAGCGUUAUUCGGAAUUACUGGGCGUAAAGGGCGCGUAGGUGGUUGUUUAAGUCUGUUGUGAAAGCCCCGGGCUCAACCUGGGAAUGGCAAUGGAUACUGGACAGCUAGAGUGCGGUAGAGGGUAGUGGAAUUCCCGGUGUAGCGGUGAAAUGCGUAGAGAUCGGGAGGAACACCAGUGGCGAAGGCGGCUCCCUGGACCAGCACUGACGCUGAAGCGCGAAAGCGUGGGGAGCAAACAGG